rnacentral:rRNA from 1 species
UACGUAGGGCGCAAGCGUUGUCCGGAAUUAUUGGGCGUAAAGAGCUCGUAGGCGGCCUGUCGCGUCCGCUGUGAAAUCCCGGGGCUCAACCCCGGGCCUGCAGUGGAUACGGGCUGGCUGGAGGCAGGCAGGGGAGAACGGAAUUCCUGGUGUAGCGGUGAAAUGCGCAGAUAUCAGGAGGAACACCGGUGGCGAAGGCGGGUCUCUGGGCAGUAACUGACGCUGAGGAACGAAAGCGUGGGUAGCGAACAGG